CCAAUAGCGUAUAUUAAAGUUGUUGCAGUUAAAAAGCUCGUAGUUGAACUUCAGGCCUGUCCAGAUGGUCCGCCUUAAUUGGUGUGUACUGUCCUUGGGUGGGUCCUACCUUCUGGCGAAGCGGCAUGGCCUUAAUUGGUUGUGUCGGGGAACCAGGACUUUUACUGUGAAAAAAUUAGAGUGUUCAAAGCAGGCAAAUAUGCUCGAAUACAUUAGCAUGGAAUAAUGGAAUAGGACGAUGGUUCUAUUUUGUUGGUUCUAGGACCGUUGUAAUGAUUAAUAGGGAUAGUUGGGGGCAUUAGUAUUCAAUUGUCAGAGGUGAAAUUCUUGGAUUUAUUGAAGACUAACUACUGCGAAAGCAUUUACCAAGGAUGUUUUCAUUAAUCAAGAACGAAAGUUAGGGGAUCGAAGACGAUCAGAUACCGUCGUAGUCUUAACCAUAAACUAUGCCGACUAGGAAUCGGGCGAUGUUGACAAAAUGACUCGCUCGGCACCUCAUG
rnacentral:rRNA from 1 species